GUUGUACUCCCUCCGUUCGGAAUUACUUGUCUCGAAUAUGGAUGUAUCUACCACUUGGCAUGGGUGGUAAACUAUAUCAGAAACAAUGAACAAAAAAAUAUGGAUGUAUCUAAAACUAAAAUACGUCUAGAUCCAUCCAUUUCUGCGACAAGUAAUUCCGAACAGAGGGAGUAUAUU
rfam:Triticum aestivum genome assembly, contig: Triticum_aestivum_CS42_TGACv1_scaffold_500922_6BL